CGAGGAAUAUUGGUCAAUGGGCGAGAGCCUGAACCAGCCAAGUAGCGUGAAGGAUGAAGGUCCUAUGGAUUGUAAACUUCUUUUGCAGGGGAAUAAAGUGAACCACGUGUGGUGUUUUGUGUGUACUCUGCGAAUAAGGAUCGGCUAACUCCGUGCCAGCAGCCGCGGUAAUACGGAGGAUCCAAGCGUUAUCCGGAUUUAUUGGGUUUAAAGGGUGCGCAGGCGGACUUAUAAGUCAGCGGUGAAAGUUUGCAGCUUAACUGUAAAAUUGCCGUUGAAACUGUGAGGCUUGAGUGCAAAUGAGGGAAGCGGAAUGUGUUGUGUAGCGGUGAAAUGCUUAGAUAUAACACAGAACACCAAUUGCGAAGGCAGCUUACUGGGACGCAACUGACGCUGAGGCACGAAAGCGUGGGGAUCAAACA
rnacentral:rRNA from 1 species